CGGAGACCCCAGUGGCCACGCCGGCAGCCCUCGCUUCCGGGGUCUACUUGGGGGGAUCCCCAGGCCUGCGCGCCCCGCCCGGCAAGGCAGCGGGGUCCCCCCACGUCUGCCUUUGGGGAAAUAGGGCACCACUGUGGAUGGCGGGGCUUGCAACUGGGCAGUUGCCUUAUGUCUCCACGACCCUCGAACUCUCCCGUCUGUGGGCGCUGGUAAUGGCAAGACACCCUGGCGCACGGCCACCUUUUCUGUGAAGAUUUUCCUGAUCCGAAGCAGCGUCAUUGGCUCCUUUGUGCUGCGUCAGCAUUCUGGUCAGAGAGCGAUUUACUCGUUCUGGACAAGAUCAUCUAUCAAGCACAUGCUUUUCCUGGGUUUCAUCCAGGAUAAAUGGGAAUAUUGGCACCGUUUGCACACUUGCUUCCUGGGUUUAUGGUGUGUCCAUAGGUAAGGUGCUAAUGGGACCUCUUGGAAAUGCCCCCUAUGACCUAGGCGUUAUUAACUGACACUUGAGCGGACUGUAGUAAACAAGCAAAGACAACUGCCUCUCAAAAAGAAAAUUAUAAUUUUUCAAACUUACAAAGGACUUGCAAUUUACUGCCUUAUUAAAAAAUAGCUAAAUAGCCAAUUAAAGAAAUAAAAAUAAACUAUGCAUAGCCCAAUGAAGUCAUGAAGUAAGGGUUAUAAUUAUUCCAGUUUUGUGCACCUAAUUGAAAAAAAUCUGUCAUCUAUAUAUAUUAUUGUAUUGUGCCUAGUACAUUGUGCGAACACUUAGUCAACAAUGAAAUAAUUUUCGUUGUAAUAAUACCUUAAGAACGAAACUUUGAAAAAUACUUAAAACUAUAAUUGGAGGAGUUUAAUUCCCAGGGAAAUGGCCAUUGAGG